rnacentral:rRNA from 1 species
AUUGAACGCUGGCGGCAGGCCUAACACAUGCAAGUCGAACGGUAACAGGAAGAAGCUUGCUUCUUUGCUGACGAGUGGCGGACGGGUGAGUAAUGUCUGGGAAACUGCCUGAUGGAGGGGGAUAACUACUGGAAACGGUAGCUAAUACCGCAUAACGUCGCAAGACCAAAGAGGGGGACCUUUUGGCCUCUUGCCAUCGGAUGUGCCCAGAUGGGAUUAGCUUGUUGGUGGGGUAACGGCUCACCAAGGCGACGAUCCCUAGCUGGUCUGAGAGGAUGACCAGCCACACUGGAACUGAGACACGGUCCAGACUCCUACGGGAGGCAGCAGUGGGGAAUAUUGCACAAUGGGCGCAAGCCUGAUGCAGCCGUGCCGCGUGUAUGAAGAAGGCCUUCGGGUUGUAAAGUACUUUCAGCGGGGAGGAAGGGAGUAAAGUUAAUACCUUUGCUCAUUGACGUUACCCGCAGAAGAAGCACCGGCUAACUCCGUG